rnacentral:piRNA from 1 species
UGCUCACUAGUAUCUUCCUCCUUGACUCU